UACUCUCUCACGAACUCACAUGUUCCUCGGUCCACCCCACCCCGGCUCCUCUCCCCAUGAUCUCCUCGCCGCCUCCACCACCCACGCCGGCCGGUUCCGAGGAGCCUGGUCUAAAAUCGGGCUGGCCUGCUGGAGCCAGGUCCUCUCCCAGCACAUUGUUGAUUGAUUCACGGGAAGAGCGAGACACCAAGAACUCGGGGAAGUCGUGAGGCCGCCUGCCUCCGCCCGCCCAGGACUCGAUCUUGAUCCCCGCCGACAAGCCGAUCCCCGUCCUCCUGCCUGUGAGAGAGAUUGGACGCCGCGGGAGCGCCUAGAUCCCGCCAUGAAUCCCGAGUAUGAUUACCUCUUCAAGCUAUUGCCUAUUGGAGACUCAGGUGUUGGCAAGUCAUGUCUUCUGUUAAGAUUUGCAGGUGAUCGACGAGGACUACUGCGGCCCGAUGGGAGUCGUGCUCUUCAACUACUCAGAGGUAGACUUCACCGUGAAGCCCCGCGACCGCGUCAUACAGAUUAUCGUCCAGGUGAUUGUGACGCAGGAGGUCCCCGGGGUGGAGGACCUCGAUGCCACCGUCCGGAGGUCACCGAGGUGGAGGACGACGCCACCGUCCGGAGUUCCUCAAGGUGGAGGACCUCGACGCUUUGUACAUACAUCUAGAAGUGGUCUAGUUAGGUUGGUGGUGAAACGCUAGGGAAGGUACCAACCUUUUGAUGAUGGUUGUGUGUGUCCUCGUGAUCUCUUCGAGUUGAGAUGUUGAAUGUUGCAUCCAUGAACACUGCAAGUGUUAAGAUGGUUCUGUGAAAUUUAUUUUGCACUGGA